rnacentral:misc_RNA from 1 species
GAUGAAGAACGCAGCGAAAUGCGAUACUUUGUGUGAAUUGCAGAAUCCCGUGAACCAUCGAGUCUUUGAACGCAAGUUGCGCCCGAAGCCAUUAGGCCGAGGGCACGCCUGCCUGGGCGUCACACGUCGUUGCCCCCCCAUCUACUCCUUCGGGAUUGCGGGGGGCGGAUGAUGGCCUCCCGUGCGCCUCGCCGCGCGGUUGGCAUAAAUGCCAAGUCCUCGGCGACGCACGCCACGACAAUCGGUGGUUGCGAAACCUCGGUUGCCCGUCGUGUGCGGUCGUCGCGCAUCGAGGGCUCGAAAAAAUUGCCGGGUUCCGGCUCGGCUUUCAACGCGACCCCAGGUCAGGCGGGGUUACCCGCUGAAUUUAAGCAUAUCAAUAAGCGGAGGA